rnacentral:rRNA from 1 species
CUACGGGGGGCUGCAGUGAGGAAUAUUGCGCAAUGGGGGAAACCCUGACGCAGUGACGCCGCGUGAGUGAAGAAGGUCUUCGGGUCGUAAAGCUCUGUCAGGUGGGAAGAAGUGCAUGUAGGUUAAUAUCCUAUGUGUUUGACGGUACCACCAAAGGAAGCACCGGCUAAAUCCGUGCCAGCAGCCGCGGUAAUACGGAUGGUGCGAGCGUUGUUCGGAAUCACUGGGCGUAAAGGGCGCGUAGGCGGCGCUGUAAGUCAGCUGUGAAAGUCCUGGGCUCAACCCAGGAAGUGCAUCUGAAACUGCAGCGCUUGAGUAUUGGAGAGGAAAGUGGAAUUCCCGGUGUAGAGGUGAAAUUCGUAGAUAUCGGGAGGAAUACCUGAGGCGAAGGCGACUUUCUGGACAAAUACUGACGCUGAGGCGCGAAAGCGUGGGGAGCAAACAGGAUUAGAUACCCCAGUAGUC